GGACCUUCGGGCCUCUUGCCAUCGGAUGUGCCCAGAUGGGAUUAGCUAGUAGGUGGGGUAAAGGCUCACCUAGGCGACGAUCCCUAGCUGGUCUGAGAGGAUGACCAGCCACACUGGAACUGAGACACGGUCCAGACUCCUACGGGAGGCAGCAGUGGGGAAUAUUGCACAAUGGGCGCAAGCCUGAUGCAGCCAUGCCGCGUGUAUGAAGAAGGCCUUCGGGUUGUAAAGUACUUUCAGCGGGGAGGAAGGGAGUAAAGUUAAUACCUUUGCUCAUUGACGUUACCCGCAGAAGAAGCACCGGCUAACUCCGUGCCAGCAGCCGCGGUAAUACGGAGGGUGCAAGCGUUAAUCGGAAUUACUGGGCGUAAAGCGCACGCAGGCGGUUUGUUAAGUCAGAUGUGAA
rnacentral:rRNA from 1 species